GACGAACGCUGGCGGCGUGCUUAACACAUGCAAGUCGAGCAGUAAGGCCCUUUCGGGGGUACGACGAGCGGCGAACGGGUGAGUAACACGUGGGUGACCUGCCCUCAGCUCUGGGAUAAGCCUGGGAAACCGGGUCUAAUACUGGAUAUGACUCCAUGACGCAUGUUGUGGGGUGGAAAGCCUUGUGCGGCUGAGGAUGGGCCCGCGGCCUAUCAGCUUGUUGGUGGGGUGAGGCCUACCAAGGCGACGACGGGUAGCCGGCCUGAGAGGGCGACCGGCCACACUGGGACUGAGACACGGCCCAGACUCCUACGGGAGGCAGCAGUGGGGAAUCUUGCGCAAUGGGCGAAAGCCUGACGCAGCGACGCCGCGUGAGGGAUGACGGCCU
rnacentral:rRNA from 1 species